rnacentral:rRNA from 1 species
AUUGAUUUUAUGCUUGCAUAAAUGAUUUUUUGGAUUCGGAGCGAGUGGCGAACUGGUGAGUAACACGUGGGUAACCUGCCCCGAAGCGGGGGAUAACAUUUGGAAACAAGUGCUAAUACCGCAUAAUUAGUUGGAACCGCAUGGUUCCAACUUGAAAGAUGGCUCUGCUAUCACUUUGGAAUGGACCCGCGCCGUAUUAGUUAGUUGGUGAGAUAAAAGCCCACCAAGACGAUGAUACGUAGCCGACCUGAGAGGGUAAUCGGCCACAUUGGGACUGAGACACGGCCCAGACUCCUACGGGAGGCAGCAGUAGGGAAUCUUCCACAAUGGACGAAAGUCUGAUGGAGCAACGCCGCGUGAGUGAUGAAGGUUUUCGGAUCGUAAAACUCUGUUGUUAAAGAAGAACAAGUGUUAGAGUAACUGUUAACACUUUGACGGUAUUUAACCAGAAAGCCACGGCUAACUACGUGCCAGCAGCCGCGGUAAUACGUAGGUGGCAAGCGUUGUCCGGAUUUAUUGGGCGUAAAGCGAGCGCAGGCGGUUUUGUAAGUCUGCUGUGAAAGCCCUCAGCUCAACUGAGGAAGUGCAGUGGAAACUACAAAACUUGAGUACAGAAGAGGAAAGUGGAACUCCAUGUGUAGCGGUGAAAUGCGUAGAUAUAUGGAAGAACACCAGUGGCGAAGGCGGCUUUCUGGUCUGUUACUGACGCUGAGGCUCGAAAGCAUGGGUAGCGAACAGGAUUAGAUACCCUGGUAGUCCAUGCCGUAAACGAUGAAUACUAGGUGUUGGAGGGUUUCCGCCCUUCAGUGCCGCAGCUAACGCAUUAAGUAUUCCGCCUGGGGAGUACGACCGCAAGGUUGAAACUCAAAGGAAUUGACGGGGGCCCGCACAAGUGGUGGAGCAUGUGGUUUAAUUCGAUGCUACGCGAAGAACCUUACCAGCUCUUGACAUCUUCUGCCAACCCAAGAGAUUGGGCGUUCCCUUCGGGGACAGAAUGACAGGUGGUGCAUGGUUGUCGUCAGCUCGUGUCGUGAGAUGUUGGGUUAAGUCCCGCAACGGGCGCAACCCUUAUUAUUAGUUGCCAGCAUUUAGUUGGGCACUCUAGUGAGACUGCCGGUGAUAAA